rnacentral:tmRNA from 1 species
GGGGGCGACCGGUUUCGACGUAAUAGUCAUGUGAUCAGGAGCAAGCCGUGGAUGGGCAGUCCACGUAAAAGAGGCCCACUGCUAAAUAUUAAUUGGCAACCAAAGAACUUAUGCUCUUGCCGCUUAGUUAAGCCGCAAGCACCAAACCCGUCUUGCCUGCGUGGUGGGCACGGUGUCACUUUUAAGCAGGAUGCUCCCGAGAAGGUGGGAUGUAUGUCUCGGACUAAGCCUGAACAUCCAUGGUCGCGCAUGGGUCGUCUGUUGACGUUGCGCGGCUAAGACUUCCAGCAGACUAAGCUUGUAGGGCCUGAUCGUGUUGCUACUGCGGACCGGAGUUCGAUUCUCCGCGCCUCCACCA